GGGAGGCAGCAGUGGGGAAUCUUGCACAAUGGGGGCAACCCUGAUGCAGCGACGCCGCGUGAGCGAUGAAGCCCUUCGGGGCGUAAGGCUCUUUCGGCCCGAACGAUGAUGACGGUACGGGAAGAAGAAGCUGCGGCUAACUACGCGCCAGCAGCCGCGGUAAUACGUAGGCAGCAAGCGUUGUUCGGAGUUACUGGGCGUAAAGAGUGCGUAGGCGGUGUCGCAAGUUUGGUGUGAAAUCUCCCGGCUUAACUGGGAGGGUGCGCCGAAAACUGCGAGGCUGGAGUGUGGGAAAGGCAAGCGGAAUUCCUGGUGUAGCGGUGAAAUGCGUAGAUAUCAGGAGGAACACCGGCGGUGUAGACGGCUUGCUAGACCAUAACUGACGCUGAGGCACGAAAGCGUGGGUAGCAAACAGGAUUAGAUACCCUAGUAA
rnacentral:rRNA from 1 species